GAGAGCCUCUGCAAGCACAUGUGAGCGAUCUCUCAAGACUCAGGUCAAGAAGUCUCCGGCUCACCCUCCUGUCCCAACACUCAGUGCCUGACACUGGGCCCCCAGGGCUUUCUGAUCAAGAGCGGGGAGGACAGCCAGCCAAAGCGGGCGGCUGAGGUCAAGUGGAGUAAUUAAUCCUAAAGGUUACCGGUGCCUGUCCUGCUGGGGAGCAGGAAUCCAAUUACCCACAGUGACAGCAGCUCGUCCCUGCCAGGCACAGACCUCAGCUGACCAAGACGUUGCCACAGUGCCUGGGUUGUGAUGCAAAGGAGUGAAUUCCGGAAGGCUGGACCAGGACAGCUUCCAGAGGUCUCCCAGAAAGACCCCAUUUCCCCUGGACAAACAAAGACCAGAAAAACUGGUCAUUUUGCCAGGGGGAGCCAGACCUAUAUGAUACAGCAAAAGCAGAAGGGAAAGAGAGGGAAUCAGAGAAUCUAAAUGAGUUUGUCUAUUAAAUAAAUAUGCAAAAUUAUGCAGA